UGUCCAGGUAUGGGAAUCGAAUUCACAGUGUUCCGCUUAUCGGGCAGAUGUAUGCCAUGUCCACUAGGCUACCCUGGAC